GAUAGUUGUCGCUCUGACGUCACUUCGGUUUCCUGGAACAGAGACCGGGGGAGGGGGGGGGGGGGGAGGAGGAGGAGGGAGUGCAAAUCGGUCGAGUGAGACGCACACGCUGACGUCAGCGCAGAGCGAGUCACCCUGUUAUCUCAACGGCAGAAAGGGAGGGGUGUGUGUGUGUGUGUGUGUGUGUGUGUGUGUGUGUGUGUGUGUGUGUGUGUGUGUGUGUGUGUGUGUGUGUGUGUGUGUGUGUGUGUGUGCACUUGCAGUUGUUAGUUUGUGGGGCCAUGUAACAGGGAGAACACCAAUCUUGUGGGGCCCAGCAACCUUGUGGGGCCCAAAAUGAGGGACCCCACUAGAAUGAUCAUCAUAUAUGGGCUCACAAGCCUCCCCUGACAUGCCUGUCGCUUUUUUAGCACAUGUCUCACAAAGUCAGAAAGUAUGGAAAAGUGUGUGUGAUGUGUGUGUGGAUUUUUUACUCACUAGUGCCCCAAGUGUUGGAAAGGUGGUAUAACAUCACACACACACACUUCCUGGUGUGUGUAAGGGUUCAGCCAAUGAGGGGCCACUAUGAAAUCUCGCGAGAUUUUUCGUGAAGUCAUUAGCGAUAUCUCAUGUCUCAGCAUACCAAAGCCAUGCAGUGUUGGCUGCUCAACUGGGAACUUUGCAGAGAAUAAGGUGACAAACUAUGAGGCCCCUGCUGUGGCUAUAGAGACAGAAGACACCCUUUCAAAUCUGUCUUCCCAUGAGGAAUCCAAUGGAGAGGAAGCCAUAGCCCAGGUAAACAAACUGCUAUCAAAAGAACCUGGACACCCGAGGAAGCGGCAGCGGUGAACCGGCAUCUACGGAGAUGCAUUACCAUGAACAGUGUUCCAGGCAAAGAGGAGUGUCAACAGUGCAUUAAUGCAGACCCUGAAGCUCUCCGAAUGCGAGACUGGAAGGCAUAUAGAAUCACUACUUUGAGACGAAAGUAUAAGUGUGAACUUGCUGAUGCACCGUCAUAUUGACAGUGUUAACAGUCUCUUCUUGUGAGGCCUCUUUGUAGGCAAUGAUAAAGUUAAUCUUGUCCCAGUGACUUUUAUUUCUGAACACUGAACAAUUGUCCAAUGAGUAACUGAAACUAUUCCGCGCCCCCACAAUCAAACGCCCGCAUGGGGAGAUUUUAGCUUUUACUUUACUAAGUUAAUAAAGACAAGAGAACAUAUUAUGUGUUAAGGAGUUUAUUUUAUGCAAUGUCGUUUGAGAAAUGGUACUAGGAAAGCGUUGAGUAGUGUUGAGCUGGAGUUCAUUAUAUUAAUGAAAUUUAAUGCCCCAUAUACCUUAUGAUGAUCUUUGGUUACAAUGACAUCGAGCCCUACAAUGUCUUUGAUAAGCAACAAAAAAUAUGUAAACAUGUUAUUUCCAUCAGAAGACAUUGUGUCUUGCGAAGAUACAAAGUCUAGAAAUGGUUGUCUUGCUAAGAUAUUAAAACUAGGAUUGUGUAUGUGUGUGUGAAAGAGGGACUCGCAAGUUUUGAAUGUUAGAAACAGAACCCCACAAAGUGACAAAAAAACUAGCAAGAGAAAAAAAGUUCUGAAUUUUAACAAAUUAAAGUGAUGGUAAUUAUAUAGAUUUUUUUUUCAUCUUACUGGAUUUUUUACAAUGUUGUAGCACUGCCAGAAAGGGUGGAUCCCACAUUUGGGUAAAAUAAGUUCGGGCCCUACAAAGGAGGAACACGAGUAUGUGUGUGUGUGUGUGUGUGUGUGUGUGUGUGUGUGUGCGCGCGCGUAACUUCUCAGGAACAAAGUGAAGACGCGACCCGGCAGCGUCAUUUGUUGAGGUCAUGAACGCGUCCAGGAAGCCGCUGUUUAACGGCGUGUUUAAUGAUCAGUAACCUGACGGCUGAAGGAACACUGAGAACUAAUACCGUAUUUUCGCGACUAUACGGCGCACUGAAUUACAAGGCGCACCUUCAAUAAAUCGCCAAUUUUAGAACUAUUUUCAUAUAUAGAGCGCACCGGAUCACAAGGCGCAUAGAAGUAACUGCAGUAAAACGUUUGACUGGGGCUGCGUUAUGCAUCCACUAGAUCGGGCUGUGCUAAAUCAAACGUUAUUAAGCGUUCUGACAACUCUUCACUCCCAUGGUAACGUUGUUCAAACGUUAAUGUGGAUAUUAACAAUAUCUCUGAACCUCCAACUUUCGUUAUUGGUUAAUGAAAACAUUCUUGGCAAAUGCUUUAGUGCAUCUUGCACCGAGAGGCAGCGCUGGAACAGACGGUGGACCGUCAGCGCGAUCCCGACAUCCAACUACGAGCUUUAAUGUACUGUAGCGACUCUGGACAAUGUGCUUAUCUUCUGGUUUUAUUGUGGAGAAACAGGCUACUGUCGGCCGUAGCCUACGCCGAACAAAAACGCAGCAUCGCUCUCCAAAACAACAACAAUUCCCGCGUCCCCAUAGGUGGCACUAAGAUGAGUGACGUCACAUUGUGCGCCCUUCACUGACCAUCCCUAAACUCUGUAAAGUGCAACGCCGCUCCAGCACAUGAAAACACAGUCCGUUACAAUACGCUGUUGGAGCUGGAAUUACCGCGGCUGCUGGCACCAGACUUUCCCUCCAAUGGAGCCUCGUUAACCAGUAUGGAUCAACCAAUUGAGCCAUAUAUACGGCGCUCCGGAUUACAAGGCGCACGCGCCGUUUUUUUAGAAAAAAAAGGAUUUUAAGUGCGCCUUAUAGUCGCGAAAAUACGGUAACUUAACAGAAGAGCUCUUGGAACACAUGUUCCCACAUAUGCUUCUAUAUAUACAAUAUAUACAAUAAAUAUACAAACAAAUGAUUGAGACGCUAGUUGUGUCGUAUUAACAGUAUUAAUGUGAUUAAAUACAUUCCAGCUGUUCGAUGGGCAGCAUCUGGUGGCUGUUAGAGGAACUGCAGUGUAAGUCACUUCAUAAAGUGUGUCACUGCAAAACCAAAAUAUCUAUGUUGCACUCCGGCUGUAUGAUUUCUACUGAGAACCCCCC